rnacentral:tRNA from 1 species
GGGCGGUUGGCUCAGGGGUAGAGCGCUUCCUUGACACGGAAGAGGUCACAGGUUCAAAUCCUGUACUGCCCA